CGGGUGAGUAACGCGUGGGUAACCUGCCUUAUACAGGGGGAUAACAGUCAGAAAUGGCUGCUAAUACCGCAUAAGCGCACAGAGCUGCAUGGCUCAGUGUGAAAAACUCCGGUGGUAUAAGAUGGACCCGCGUUGGAUUAGCUAGUUGGUGGGGUAACGGCCCACCAAGGCGACGAUCCAUAGCCGGCCUGAGAGGGUGAACGGCCACAUUGGGACUGAGACACGGCCCAG
rnacentral:rRNA from 1 species